rnacentral:piRNA from 1 species
UGCAAGAAUAGUAUACACUGCAGGUGUUGG